GUUGAUGAGGAGGUUCAGCCCCGAGCCCUUGAGGCGCUCCCCGACGCUGGCUGCGGCCGCCUUGAUGCUGGCGGGAUCGGUGACUUCUGCAGAGGCGAGGUGGGGAGUCUGGCUGUCUGGUGAUGCCUGACCCCCGAAAUCAGAAGCCAGCAGCAGCCGUGGCCAGGAGAAGCCUUGCUGUGUGCGGACAGUGGAAGCAGCAAGUGGGAAGGAGUCACGAUGCCCCGUGGGUCUGCAGGACUUCCACUGAGCUGCUGCUCCUGCAUCUCAAGCCAGAUGGGUGUAGCAGAUCGUAGCCAUGCAUCAACCAGUCUGAGGUGAUCUCGUUCCCCUUUCCCUGUCUGUUGCAGUCAGAUUGUUGCUCAGAUGGCCACAAGUUGGUGUUUUCUGCUUUCCUUUCUUGCAAGCAAAUGGCCCAGCACUGGUAUUUGUGUUGGUGGAGUCAUGCUAUGUUGAGAGAGUUGUCAAAUGUUGGAAUGGGCUGACCAGGAAAGCAGUGGAUUCCCCAUCACUGAGUUAUGAAGGAGAUGUGUGAAUGGGACACUUGGGGACGCAGUUUAGUGAUGGGAUUUGGUAAAUCAGGCUGGACUUGUGAACUUGAGGGUCAAAACCUUCCAUACCCUGAGUCCAAACUCCGUCCUGGUUGGUCAACUCAGCUCUCUGCCCACCCUGGGCCACAGUGGUCAUUCAGGUCCUUGUCCCCUUCAGCAGACACACGCGAUGGUGGAGCAGAGCGUGCAGGACGUCGCUGUGGCUCUGGGCAGCCUGGAGAAGGAGACAGCCGUCCUCAAGGGACCUCUGGCACGUUCCUCCACUGGGAAGGCAACUGCUUGCCCAGGGGACACCAGCUGUGCCCCCAUGUCACCAGCACCCACCCAGGGACAUAGGCAGCACUCCGCAGUGCAUGGGAAUUGCUGAAUCAUGCCUGAACCUCUGAUUGAUCACCUGAGGCGAGCAAUGAGUCACUGCUGGGAGCACAGGACAAUUUGGCUGUCUGGUGAUGCCUGACCCCCGGAAUCAGAAGCCAGCAGCAGCCGUGGCCAGGAGAAGCUUUGCUGUGUGCCGACAGUGGAAGCAGCAAGUGGGAAGGAGACACGAUGCCCUGUGGGUCUGCAGGACUUCCACUGAGCUGCUGCUCCUGCAUCUCAAGCCAGAUGGGUGUAGCAGAUCGCAGCCAUGCAUCAACCAGUCUGAGGUGAUCUCUUCCCCUUUCCCUGUCUGUCGCAGUCAGAUUGUUGCUCAGAUGGCCACAAGUUGGUGUUCUCUGCUCUCCUUUCUUCCAAGCAAAUGCCCCAUGUCCAGUGUUUCCAUUGGCAGAGUUGUUCUUUGCAGCACUGAGUCCAAAGGCAGGGGCACAGGCUGACGGGCUGAUGAGCAGUGCUGUAGUCACUGAACAGUGCAGGUAUAUUGGCUUCUCCCAUUGCGUUGUCUUGGUGGUAGAGUCCAGCAGAGCAUCUUCCCCCCACCCGGGCUGCCAGAACUGCUCCAAAGCCCUGCUGUGCCCAGGAGUGUGCAAACGAAUGCACUGCGCUUUCGCAGAUUUGCCUUCCAUGGUUUUCCACAGUGUGAUAGAAAAGUUCAGCGUGCCUCAGAACCAGAUAAAGCCAAAACCAGCUCUUUUAUCUCUCCUGUUUCUGCUGUGUCAUGUUGGUUUUGAACCUUUCCAUUGUUUUGGAGCUGUAAUGGUAGACUGUUGACUUUGCUCAGGGGCCUCACACUGGUUUAUAAAAUCCUAAACAAGCAUUCUUUUAGCAGGGGUCAUAGUCCAGCCUGGCAUGAACACACCUAGAAGAGAACAGUCAGCCUUGCUGGGGUGGCAGUGGAGUCUUGUCACAAGCUGCUGUCCCCAAGGCUCAGCUGUAGAGGGGUGGAACGUUCUUGCACGGUCUGAGCUUUAAGAUGAACAGAAGCAGUAUUUUCCAGUGUGGUGAAAGGCCAUUGGUGUAUCCUGUCCCACAGGCCCUCUGACAGCCGUAUGUCACAUAGAGAAGCUUUCUGUCAGGAGUUGGGGCAUGACUGCACCUUCCAAACUCUCUGUGGCUGAAAGCUCAGUGUUCACACCCAUCUAGAUAUGUGCACAAAGGGCAAUUGCAAAGUCACUACAGAAAGCUUGGGGAAUAUCCCUUUGUUUGUCAGGCUGAGGAGCAGGGGCAUGGCACAGUCGACUCCAUUAUGAUCACUCCGCUGUGAAAGCAGUAGUAAAGGUGCUGCUUUUCAUCAAGGCUAUUGGCUUUACGAUGCCAAUCUCUGUCCAGCUCCAGCUCUUCUGCGCCUGGGGCCCAGAUGGGGAGGAUGCUGACGUGCUUCGUGCCUUUUCUGCUUCAGUCUUUAUGAGAAAGACCAGUUGUUCUGAGGGUACCCAGACCCCUGAGUUGUAAGGGGGAGACAGGGAGUGAGACGCAGCCCUUGGGCUCAGUGGGAAACUGGAAGUGACCUCAAACUUGUUUUGAAGAUUCGUAAGUCUGUGUGGCCUAUGAGAUACAGCCAACAGAGACGGUGCAAGUGCUCACCAAGGCAGUCUGCAAUUUGCCAGCAGUGCUGCAUGACUGGGGAGGUGCCAGCUGAGUGCAAGGUAGCACCUGUGAUGAAGCCACCCCAGGAGGGGCCAUUGAGGAACAAGGACAUCCCAGCAGGAAGAUCAACUAAGAUAAUAAUGAUAUUCUAAUCACUAUCAGUGGCUGAGGACAGUGCAGACUGAUAAGAUUGCCCCAGGGGAGACUGAGACGCCCCCAGGUAGGGACACAGUCUAAGCAGACCGAGUCACCAGACGUCCAGCUCCCUGCUCUCACCUUGGGCUGCCCCAGCAGGUUCAGGAGCUCAGCUCCAUCAGUGCCCUGAGUUGUUCUCCAGCCUUGAUGGUGGUGCGGAGUCCCCCCAGUUCCAAGCCAUGGACACGCGUCCAGGGAGCCAGCCCUUCUGCAGUCAGACUCCUGGGACGUCUGCGGUGCGCUGAGCUCCGUUCCGGCUAAGGACGGAAGCGAGCAGGUCCUGCCGAGCAGUCCUGUUCUGGCAGGAUGUUUGAGCGGAGGCGAGUCAUUGGUGAAGAGCUGCAGAGCUGCAGAGAGGGGGCAGCAGGAGGCUUGUCAGCGUGUGCCACGAGCUCCUCCUCUACAGAGCGCCCGAGGGGGAAAACAGUGAGGAGGCAGCGCGUGGGCCAGGCUGCGCCCUGCGUGGCGCAGGGUAGCGUUGCUCCGGCUGCCCUCCGUCCCGCGUAAAGGAUAAAAGCUUCGCCUGAACAGGGGCUUGAACCCUGGACCCUCAGAUUAAAAGUCUGAUGCUCUCCCAGCUGAGCUAUCCAGGCUCCCACUUGGGCCUUUGGGAGAUGCUCAGGACGGCCCACUGAGGCCCCCCAUCGCCUCCACCACAGGGGCAACCAGGGGGUGCUGCGAACUCACAGCUGCAGCCCUGCCCUCAGCUGUGGCAACACGGGCAGAACACAACCCAAGCAGGGGGCCGGCAGCGAUCACAGCGGGCUCAGUGCUCUGCGCUGUGGAUGCGGCAACCUCCCUUCCGACCCAAGGCACGGCCGUGCUUCUGCAGGGAGCCUGCUGUGUCCGCCACUGGCGUCACCUGCCGCAGGCAUGCUGUGCUCACUGACCAAAGACAUCAAUGGCUUUGGCCACCCGUGGGCAGAUCUCUGAGGGUACAAAGUGUCUCCGGCCACCGCAGCGUUCACAGGGGAUGGCACAUUUGCAAGGCCGGGCCUUUGUCCCUCCCAGUCCCUCCUCCCCAUCCCGGCCAGCCCCUUGCAGCUCAGCCUGUUCCGAUGUUUGGCAAAACUUCUCCAUGAAGACAUUAUAACUAACGUCCAACAGAAACCUCUUGAACACAACUGGCAGCUGCUCCCUCUCAUGUGCUAUUGCUCCACACCUCACAAAAGAGACCGACACCUCCUCCCUGUUGCACCCUUUCAGGGAGCUGUAGGGAGCUAUGAGGUCUCACCUCAGUCUCCUCUUCUCCAAACCAAACAAGCCCCAUGCCCUCUGUGUCUCCUCAUAACUCCUGCAUCUGCUGCACUGCCCUUCUCUGCACUCACUCCGGCAACUCAAGAUCCUUCUGGCAGUCAGGGGCCCAAAACUGAGCCCAGCAUUGGAGAUGCAGUCUCACCAGUGCCACAUGCAAUGCGACAGUCACUUCCUUAGUCCUUUGGCCAGACUCUUUCCAGUGCAGGUCAGGAAGCCGUUGGCCUUCUUGCCCAUCUGAGCACAUUCUGCCUCAUGUUCAGCCAGCUGUCAACCAGCACAUCCAGGUUCUUCUCUACCAGGCACCUUCCAGCCGCUCUUCCCCGACCACAUAACACCGCACGGGGGUUGUUGUGAUCCAGGUGCAAGACGUGGCGCCCAUCCCUGUGGAAUGUCAUGCAAUUGGACUUGGUCUAUUGAUCCAGACUAUCCAGAUCCCUCUGCAGAGCCUUCCUACCCUCAAGUGUUUUGACACUGCCACCUAGCUUGGUGUUGUCUUUUCACCUUCCUCAGGAUCUUUCCAUUCCCUCAUCCAUAUCACUGGCAGAACUGUGAAACAAAACUGGCUCCAGACUGAGCCAUGGGGAACACCACCAGUGCCUGGCAGCCAGCUGGGUCAAACCCCAUCCAUUAGCCCCUAUUCAGUCUAGCCAGCCUGGCUGCUUUUUAUCACCUGAUGGUCCCCUCUGUGCCACAUGCUGGCACUCAGGAUGAUCUGCUCCAUAACAUUCCCUGCUUCCAAGAUCAGGAUGGCAACUUGAAACAGUCUGGGCCAUCUUUCCCCUCCUUCUCCCACCCUUUCCCACCCCACUGUUUGGUUUUCAACCUGAACAUGCAUUAGUUGUUAUUCUUCAUUGUUCUUCACAUGGGCUUAAUAGACUUAUUCCCAGAACCGACUUUCUGGGCAGGGGGAGAAAAGAGGGAUGAUGAAAUUGUCUUUUUCCCUUUCUGUGUCACAGCUGUGUAAAAGUGGGAUGGGUCAGCCUCUUUUCCCAGGUAACAGGGAUAGGACAAGAGGUCAUGGCCUCCACUUGCACCAGGGGAGGUUCAGGUUGGAUAUUCCUAAGGCAAACGAGCCAUUUUGCCCUCAAUUUCCAUAUCCAGCCCCUUCCCUUCUGACCGUACGAUCUCAGACCAGAAGGAAGAACCUGGGCAGCAGCCCACCACGGAAAUCCAUCCCCUCCCACAGCCAUGGCACAGCUCUUGGCCCAGGGCAGAAGCCCUCGCCCACGUUCUACUCCUCAUUCUGUUCUCUUUCUGAAGUGGAUAGGGAUGAAGAAAAAUAUCAGCCUGCAGCCCAAAGCCUCCCUCUUCCCUUCCCGUGCCCCUGUGGCUCCUUCACCAGCUGAGCCUUGAGUGACUCCCCAGCGGGACCUGUGAGACACCUUGAAUUUCUUUCCUGAAAGCUGCUGUGAGCUCUGCACAGCUGUCAGAAGAGGGCACUAAGACGAAGGAAACCGUGUUUCAAUGGGCUGCAGGCUUGUGAAGAGCAAAAAGCCCUUCCUCCAAGUGGAGGCCCUCUGGUGCAGCGCAGAGCUCUCCGUGUGCCUUCGGGAAUGUGGGAAAAGGCUGAUGGAAGGGGUCUGCAAAGGCACUGGCAGAAGAUGUCUGUGCUAGCAUGGGAUCCUCUCUGACCAUUAGACCUGUGAGCAGGAAACAUCCUUGUAAAGCACGGCCAGAUUCUUUGAGGUGCAGAGCGGCACCAGAUAGCCAGAGACAUCCUGAGGCAGCCUCAAUAAGGGGAAGACCAAAACACCAGUGGUCAUCCGGAGAGGUGAAGAAAUGGACUGGAAAAGGAAAGGCAGCUUUAGAAAGCAGGAACUGGCAGCUGCUAUUGGCUGUUCCAACAAGAGGAACAGAGAUGAACAGGAAAAAUGAAAAAUGGUCAGAGAGAAUAGAAAAUGCCCUUGUCUUCCUGUUUCCCAGCCUAUGCGUGGUGAUGCACAGCCCUUCACUCCAUCUCUGCCUUACUCCGUGUCCCCAGCCUCCUGUUCCCUCAUGGGGAGCCCUUCCUGGACGCAUCCUGUGCUCCCACUGCACUCGUGCUUCCCCAGCCCUGGGCAGCCCACCUCAUGAAGAUGGACAGUGGCCCAAAGCCCUUGACUCCAGAGACGGACAUUUCCAGCAGUGACAGCUGUCACUGGAGGGGACAUCUGUCAGCGGCUGUGGUUGGGAGCAGUCUGUUCUGAUGCUCAUGGAUGAGAAGUGG